AUGGAAAAAAUGGUGGAACCGCCACCUUCUGAAGGUGGCGAGGAAACUAUAACCGCAAUGUCAGCUCUUGCUGUAGUGGGUCAGUACCUGUCCACUAACAGUGUCGAAAGCACGUUCCUGCGUAAUACUGGGUUGGUUGUUAAGGCAAUAUCGUUCAAACUGCCUCAUGAUCAAGAUAUGCAAGCUAAAAGCAAUGUUGUAUCUGCGCUCCAGACACAAGUCCAUUCCCUAAUAGAGACCCUUUAUGAAACAAGGAGAGACAUUGUUCGAUGUCGUCAAGAUAUGCAUGGUUUUGAAACCAGACUAUCAAACAUUUGCUAUGUUGUUCAGGAGCCUAGGGGAAAUGAAGGCGAGUGUUAUGGUGCUCCAUCGGACAAUACAGCAUGA
rnacentral:rRNA from 1 species